GCGUGCGUAGCUCAGUGGUAGAGCGUCGGUCUGAUGAGGCCGGAGGUCGGUUGGUUCAAUCCCACUCGCGCGCA